rnacentral:rRNA from 1 species
AGAGUUUGAUCCUGGCUCAGGAUGAACGUUGGCGGUGUGCCUAAUACAUGCAAGUCGAACGGUGACGAUUUUGUAGCAAUACGAAUGAAAUCAUAGUGGCGAACGGGUGAGUAACGCGUUGGUGAUCUGCCUCGAAGUGUGGAAUAACUUCCCGAAAGGGUAGCUAAUACCGCAUAGUCUCUCAAGGUUUAGAAAAUUGAGAGUAAAGGAUUUAUUCGCUUCGAGAGGAGCCUGCGUCCCAUCAGCUAGUUGGUAGGGUAAUAGCCUACCAAGGCAAUGACGGGUAGGGGACCUGAGAGGGUGGCCCCCCACAAUGGAACUGAAACACGGUCCAUACACCUACGGGUGGCAGCAGUAGGGAAUAUUAGAAAUGGGCGAAAGCCUGAUCUAGCAACACCGCGUGUGCGAUGAAGGCCUUCGGGUUGUAAAGCACUUUUUGGAGGGAAUAGGAAGGAAGGUACCUCCAGAAUAAGUCUCGGCUAACUACGUGCCAGCAGCCGCGGUAACACGUAGGAGGCAAACGUUAUCCGGAUUCACUGGGCGUAAAGCGCGUGUAGGUGGUUCUGUAAGUAGGGCGUGAAAGCUCCCGGCUCAACUGGGAGAGGCCGUACUAAACUGCAGAGCUAGAGGAUGGUAGAGGGAGGUGGAAUUCCAGGUGUAGUGGUGAAAUGCGCAGAUAUCUGGAGGAACACCAGUGGCGAGGGCGCGCCUCCUGGACCAUUCCUGACACUCAGACGCGAAAGCUAGGGUAGCAAACGGAAUUAGAGACUCCGGUAGUCCUAGCCCUAAACGAUGCAGACUAGGCGUCGGCGGUUUAAUCACCGUCGGUGUCCAAGCUAACGCGAUAAGUCUGCCGCCUGAGGACUACGGCCGCAAGGCUAAAACUCAAAGGAAUUGACGGGUCCCCGCACAAGCAGCGGAGCGUGUGGUUUAAUUCGAUGCUCCGCGAAGAACCUUACCUGGGUUUGACAUAACAGUGGUAGAGAAGUGAAAACGGAUCGACCCUUCGGGGAGCUGUUACAGGUGUUGCAUGCCUGUCGUCAGCUCGUGUCGUGAGAUGUUCGGUUAAGUCCGCUAACGAGCGCAACCCGCGCUGUGUGUUACAAGUGUCACACAGUACCGCCGGUAUUAAGUCGGAGGAAGGUGCGGAUGACGUCAAGUCAGCAUGACCUUUAUAUCCAGGGCUACACACACGCUACAAUGGUCAGAACAAUAGGUUGCCAAGCCGCAAGGCGGAGCCAAUCCUCCAAAUCUGGCCUCAGUUCAGAUUGCAGGCUGCAACUCGCCUGCAUGAAGUCGGAGUUGCUAGUAACCGCAGGUCAGCAUACUGCGGUGAAUACGUUCCCGGGGAUUGUACACACCGCCCG